ACUCUCAGUCAAAGAUGUUUUCCGUGCACCUCUGAGCUGUGACAGCUGCUGUGUUCUGGGGUAGACACUGCUUCUCCCAGACUUUGAAGGUUUUGUGAGGUCAGAAAAGUGGCUCCCUCUGCCUCCAGCCCACCUGUUGUGUCUGUUGCGGGACUCUUGGAGGAAGUUUCUGAGCUGUGCCUUGUGGAUGGUGGCUGUGUGUUAUGCUGUCUCAGAGGAGAGCGUGAGGCUUGCCUGGGAAGGAAGCCACCACGGAUUCCUAGCUAGAAGCUAAAGUGAAGGUCAGAGACGGAGGUGGAAUAACUGGGAGCUGAAACAGGAAGCCCCAUGACACAGUUGAUCGAAAAUGACACAGACACAGAAAAAUCAGGACGUGCCCCCAGCAGCACCCCUACCUGCUGCCUGCUGAUCACGGCUGGGAGGCCCGUCCAGGGUUCCCACCCGGGAACGGACUCUUAGCUACUCAGUGCUCACGGGUGCUGGGCCUGCAGAGCUUUUCGGAUGCUCUCUUACAGCUGGUUUGUUAUCUUUUAAUCAAUCAACUAAUUAAUCUAUUACUUUAUUUAUUGGCCCUCCCCAUGUCUUGAUCCUUUCUUCAUUAAAAGCAAAAGGAAAGAAAA
rnacentral:lncRNA from 1 species